AGAUAUAAAGAAUGGAUCGUCCGUUUUUGAUCAGAUGCUGUUUAGUCCCGGUGUAUUCACGUCACAACCAAUUAGCCUGUGAGGAUACAGAGCGUUUCCUCGUGGACGGGGAUGGCGUUUGGCUGGAUGUGGAUGGGGGCCAUGGGGCAAGGUCACGGAGCACGAGGCCAAGGACCAAAGGAACUUGACGUGCUACCAGUGCAGACAUUUUGGACACUGGGCCAAACACUGUGUGAACAUACCAAAGACUGCCAGGUUUGAUCCCCAACAAUCCUUAUGUGAUUCCUGGACAUUGCUUUCAGGGGAAUACUGAGGCCACACAGAACAUCUACUGAAACACUGCUGAGGACCCCAGAGACAAUGUGGGUACAGCAGACCCCAUGUUGUCUGCAACAGUGGAAGGAAAACACACAGACUUCCUGGUUGACACCGGAGCCACACAUUCCACUCUGAACUCUGCUCCUCCUUUUUCUCUGACAUCAAGAACUGUGUCUUUAACAGGGUUCUCAUGGACUGAACAGAGUCUGCUAUUCACGAUGCCUCUGACCUUCACCUUGGGUAAUCAGAAUAUGAAACAUUCUUUUGUAAGUUUUCCUACGACUCCCAUGAAUUUACUUGAGCGAGCUUUGCUGAUAAAGAUGGCAGCAACAAUCAUGUGCUCGGCUGAUGGAAUAAUUGUUGCUUUUCCUGAUGGCACCUCCCUUCUUUGUGGAAAUUUCCAAACAGAAGGACAGUAUCUGAUCCAGCCAGUGGUGUCUGAGUUUGCUGACAUCUAUUGGGGACUUUUAACAAAUUUACCCUACAGCAGCCUAAUGUCAACGUUCUUGGCCUGGAAGCCCUGGCUCCUGUGUCUGCGCUUCUGUGUUCCUCCGGGUCCACCACACGUGACCCUGUUCUGCGACAGAGACGCCUCUGAAUGGUACCAGGAACCUUUCCUUUCCACUUUGAAGGAAACAACCUGGCAGGUAAAAGUCUCGGACAUUUAUGUAGCUCCUGUUGGUGUAGCUGCUGCUGUCUCUUUCGCAAAAAAAAACAAUCAGAAUGGUAUUAAAUGUCUCACAUUUCUCUCUGUUUGCACCCUGAGCACCAAGUGAAAAAAUUGGGCGUGAUGAUGAAACGUUCCCUGGCAGCCACAGAUUCGAUUGCCACAGCAGCACUAGGUUUGUUUUCCUCCCAUACUCUUUACACAUGUAAUAUCUGUCAUUCAGGGUCUGAUCACAUAAUAAGUCUUAAAGGAAAAUGUACUGCAAUUUUCCAUAAAUCAGUGACCUUAGACAUUCUGAUGAGGCUCCUUGGUUUGUAAAAGUAACAAUCUUCAAACAUAUUUGUCAGCAUAUCUACAUUUCUUAAUUAAAUGGUUUUCUUUAUAUUGUUUGGUAAGAUAUUCCGAUUUAAUCUGUCAUAUUUCCAUUAACUGUAAGCAUAAAAUUAUUGUCAUUACUAGACUUAAAGACUUUAGUUAUGUGUUUCACUUUUUGAACUGAUUUACUAAAAUAAAUUAACAUUUAAUAUGCAAUGCAUAAAAAUAUUUUAACGUUGAAUGUUCCCUCAUAAUGGAAUCGAUUUUAGUUUAACCAGGUUUUGCAAGAUAUUUUGCAGGACUGCCCACUAGACCUUUUGCUUGCUGCACCAGUAACAGAGACCUGCGUUAAAGCCACCUCUCUGGUUUUGCAGUGCCUGCGUCAAACAGAUUUUAAGGUCAGUAAAAGCAGAUUGCUCGAAAACAGGCUAAGUUUCUGGGUAGAAUAAUUUCAGCAGGAACGACUGGCAUGUCCCCAUGGAACAAGCUUUUGUCUCUCUCCAACAACACAUGGCUUCGGCUGCAGAGCUCUCCAUCCCUGAAUACAUUUUACAGUUCUUUGAGGAUAUUUCUGGAACAAAACUGACUGUUUUGUUUCAGAAAAAGGGGGAGGAAAAGGGCAUCACCCUUGUACACAACAGGCAGCUGGGAUACCUGCUGCCUGAUACAAAACUGAACACAUAGUCAUGGGACAUUCACUGAGUUUCACCAUGACAGCGUUGAGGCAACAAACACUUUCCAAAGUCCUGAAAGCUCCAAACAUUUCAUUCACACACCAAGACAUAAAUAUGGCAGACUGUUUUUCAGAAGGAGAACCACACGUGUGUGCAGACCUGGUGGCAAAGACAGACAAGGUAACACCAGGACUUCAGCAGCUCCUCUGCUGGGACCAGAGGUGAGACAGUUCUUUACAGAUGGUUGUUGUUUCAGAAACAACACACAAGGGUUAAGAGCCUGGAAGAGGUGGUAAGAUGCCAAAAGGGGCGCCACCUGAAGAGAAAACGUGAAACAAAUGGGUGUUGGAGGGGCCCAGAUGGCAGGUUAAUUCUGCCUCCUGGGAAAAUACAAGAGCUGCUCCAAGAAGCUCACAGGGUUGGAUAUGUUGGGACGAAGCAGAUGAUGCACAAUCUUAAAGAGUGGUGGCACCCCAAAUGAUCCACAUGGUGAAACAUUUUGUGAAAAAUUGUUCAAAAUUGUGGACAGCUGAAUCCUAAGAAAACUUUGAAUCCACAUCAGGGACAGUUUCCUUCAGUCACAUGUCCAGGGAAAGAAAUUGUGUUGGAUUCUACUGACAUAAUAAACACGUUGCAAGACAAAAAUAUUUGCUGAUUUGUGUUGAUGCUUUCACAGGAUGGCCUGAAGCCUGGCCAG